rnacentral:tRNA from 2 species
GCGCCCUUAGCUCAGCUGGUAGAGCAACUGACUCUUAAUCAGUGGGUCGAAGGUUCGAAUCCUUCAGGGCGCAC